rnacentral:rRNA from 1 species
GACGAACGCUGGCGGCGUGCCUAAUACAUGCAAGUCGAACGCUUCUUUCCUCCCGAGUGCUUGCACUCAAUUGGAAAGAGGAGUGGCGGACGGGUGAGUAACACGUGGGUAACCUACCCAUCAGAGGGGGAUAACACUUGGAAACAGGUGCUAAUACCGCAUAACAGUUUAUGCCGCAUGGCAUAAGAGUGAAAGGCGCUUUCGGGUGUCGCUGAUGGAUGGACCCGCGGUGCAUUAGCUAGUUGGUGAGGUAACGGCUCACCAAGGCCACGAUGCAUAGCCGACCUGAGAGGGUGGUCGGCCACACUGGGACUGAGACACGGCCCAGACUCCUACGGGAGGCAGCAGUAGGGAAUCUUCGGCAAUGGACGAAAGUCUGACCGAGCAACGCCGCGUGAGUGAAGAAGGUUUUCGGAUCGUAAAGCUCUGUUGUUAGAGAAGAACAAGGACGUUAGUAACUGAACGUCCCCUGACGGUAUCUAACCAGAAAGCCACGGCUAACUACGUG